CGAAGUAACACAGUAAAACCUAUCUUCUGUUACCACUCAUGACAAUCAAACUCAAAAAAAAAAUUUGUCACAUUAGAGCCAAAAUAAUUCUAGAUAAAUCUACUCUAUCAUCAAUUGUACAAUUCUCUAUUAAUUUAAAAUUUAAAAUGUCCAUAUUUCCUAACUCAUCAAAAAGAGGCAUCAUGAUAGUUAUGUACAUGAAUUUAAACAAUGAAAUAAAAAAGAAAAUCUGAUCAAUGCAAUCUCCUCGAUUAAUAAUAGUAGUAUAUUGUAUUAAAACAUCUGUGAAUAAUUCUAGAAAUAUAAAAUUUGGUUGAAAACAUUUAGAAUGAAUCUAAUGGACUUAAAAUUGGACAAUAACUUGCUAUUUUCUUAGGUAGUAAGACUUAGAAUGGUAACCAAUAUGUAUUAAUUUUAUUUAAAAUGAAUACAAUGGAAUAAAUUAAUUAUUUAGACCAAUAUUAAAAUACAAUUGAGAAGAAAUUUUAUCCUGUAGGCAUAUUACUGUCUUAAUAAGUAAUGAUGAUAAUCAUAUAUGAUGGAUUACUUAAUCCUGUCAGUAACAAAUUGUGUCUUUGUGUAUAAGUAACAGGGUGCAAUUCUGUUGUGGCUGGGCUAUGUAGGUUUCCUUGUGUUCUCUUAUACAAUCUAAGCUUAUAAGAGUGGAUGUAAAACACUAAUAAUAAUGAUUAAAAACAAUAAAAAUUGUUAGUAUUUAUUACAUUAAAAACAAUAUAAUUUCUUUUUCCAUUGUAUUGACAUUUUUUUAACAUUAUUUAAAAUACAUUUAAUAAUCCUGUAAAAUUCUACAAAAUAUUAACUAGAAUAAUCUAAAUUUUAUGGAACAAUGUUUCUCAU